AUGAACGCUAGCGGGAGGCCUAACACAUGCAAGCCGAGCGGUAGAGAUCUUUCGGGAUCUUGAGAGCGGCGUACGGGUGCGGAACACGUGUGCAACCUGCCUUUAUCUGGGAGAUAGCCUUUCGAAAGGAAGAUUAAUACCCCAUAAUAUAUAGAGUGGCAUCACUUUGUAUUGAAAGCUCCGGCGGAUAGAGAUGGGCACGCGCAAGAUUAGAUAGUUGGUGAGGUAACGGCUCACCAAGUCAGUGACCUUUAGGGGGCCUGAGAGGGUGAUCCCCCACACUGGUACUGAGACACGGACCAGACUCCUACGGGAGGCAGCAGUGAGGAAUGUUGGACAAUGGGUGAAAGCCUGAUCCAGCCAUCCCGCGUGAAGGACGACGGCCCUAUGGGUUGUAAACUUCUUUUGUAUAGGGAUAAACCUACCCUCGUGAGGGUAGCUGAAGGUACUAUACGAAUAAGCACCGGCUAACUCCGUGCCAGCCGCCGCCGUAA
rnacentral:rRNA from 1 species